rnacentral:rRNA from 1 species
CGAAGCAACGCGAAGAACCUUACCAGGCCUUGACAUGCAGAAGUAACCUUUCCAGAGAGUGGAGUUGGUGCCGUUCGGGAACUCUGACACAGGUGCUGCAUGGCUGUCGUCAGCUCGUGUCGUGAGAUGGUUGGGUUAAGUCCCGUAACGAGCGCAACCCUUGUCCUUAGUUACCAGCACGUUAUGGUGGGCACUCUAAGGAGACUGCCGGUGACAAACCGGAGGAAGGUGGGGAUGACGUCAAGUCAUCAUGGCCCUUACGGCCUGGGCUACACACGUGCUACAAUGGUCGGUACAAAGGGUUGCCAAGCCGCGAGGUGGAGCUAAUCCCAUAAAAUCGAUCGUAGUCCGGAUCGCAGUCUGCAACUCGACUGCGUGAAGUCGGAAUCGCUAGUAAUCGUGAAUCAGAAUGUCACGGUGAAUACGUUCCCGGGCCUU